ACACUCCUGCGGGAGGCAGCAGUGGGGAAUAUUGCACAAUGGGCGCAAGCCUGAUGCAGCCAUGCCGCGUGUAUGAAGAAGGCCUUCGGGUUGUAAAGUACUUUCAGCGGGGAGGAAGGCGAUAAGGUUAAUAACCUUGUCGAUUGACGUUACCCGCAGAAGAAGCACCGGCUAACUCCGUGCCAGCAGCCGCGGUAAUACGGAGGGUGCAAGCGUUAAUCGGAAUUACUGGGCGUAAAGCGCACGCAGGCGGUCUGUCAAGUCGGAUGUGAAAUCCCCAGGCUCAACCUGGGAACUGCAUUCGAAACUGGCAGGCUAGAGUCUUGUAGAGGGGGGUAGAAUUCCAGGUGUAGCGGUGAAAUGCGUAGAGAUCUGGAGGAAUACCGGUGGCGAAGGCGGCCCCCUGGACAAAGACUGACGCUCAGGUGCGAAAGCGUGGGGAGCAAACAGGAUUAGAAACCCGUGUAGUCCCAUGA
rnacentral:rRNA from 1 species